GAUGAACGCUGGCGGCGUGCCUAAUACAUGCAAGUCGAGCGAACAGACGAGGAGCUUGCUCCUCUGACGUUAGCGGCGGACGGGUGAGUAACACGUGGAUAACCUACCUAUAAGACUGGGAUAACUUCGGGAAACCGGAGCUAAUACCAGAUAAUAUAUUGAACCGCAUGGUUCAAUAGUGAAAGACGGUUUUGCUGUCACUUAUAGAUGGAUCCGCGCCGCAUUAGCUAGUUGGUAAGGUAACGGCUUACCAAGGCAACGAUGCGUAGCCGACCUGAGAGGGUGAUCGGCCACACUGGAACUGAGACACGGUCCAGACUCCUACGGGAGGCAGCAGUAGGGAAUCUUCCGCAAUGGGCGAAAGCCUGACGGAGCAACGCCGCGUGAGUGAUGAAGGUCUUCGGAUCGUAAAACUCUGUUAUUAGGGAAGAACAAAUGUGUAAGUAACUAUGCACGUCUUGACGGUACCUAAUCAGAAAGCCACGGCUAAUUACGUG
rnacentral:rRNA from 1 species